rnacentral:rRNA from 1 species
CUACGGGGUGCCCCAGUGGGGAAUAUUGGACAAUGGGGGAAACCCUGAUCCAGCAAUGCCGCGUGUGUGAAGAAGGCCUGCGGGUUGUAAAGCACUUUCGGUUGGGAGGACUGCUUCUAGCACUAAUAUUGUUGGAAGUUGACGUUACCUUCAGAAGAAGCACCGGCUAACUCCGUGCCAGCAGCCGCGGUAAUACGGAGGUGCAAGCGUUAAUCGGAAUUACUGGGCGUAAAGCGCGCGUAGGCGGCUAGAUCAGUCGGGUGUGAAAGCCCCGGGCUUAACCUGGGAACUGCAUCCGAUACUGUCUAGCUUGAGUACAGGAGAGGAGAGUGGAAUUCCACAUGUAGCGGUGAAAUGCGUAGAUAUGUGGAGGAACACCAAUGGCGAAGGCAGCUCUCUGGCCUGAUACUGACGCUGAGGUGCGAAAGCGUGGGGAGCAAACAGGAUUAGAUACCCCUGUAGUC